rnacentral:rRNA from 1 species
UACAGAGGGGGCGAGCGUUGUUCGGAAUUACUGGGCGUAAAGGGCGCGUAGGCGGCCCGCUAAGUCGAACGUGAAAUCCCCAGGCUCAACCUGGGAACUGCGUCCGAUACUGGCAGGCUUGAAUCCGGGAGAGGGAUGCGGAAUUCCAGGUGUAGCGGUGAAAUGCGUAGAUAUCUGGAGGAACACCGGUGGCGAAGGCGGCAUCCUGGACCAAUACUGACACUGAGGAGCGAAAGCCAGGGGAGCAAACGGG